rnacentral:rRNA from 1 species
GAUGAACGCUGGCUACAGGCUUAACACAUGCAAGUCGAGGGGAAACGGCAUUGAGUGCUUGCACUGAAUGGACGUCGACCGGCGCACGGGUGAGUAACGCGUAUCCAACCUUCCCGUUACUGCGGGAUAACCUGCCGAAAGGCAGACUAAUACCGCAUGUUCUUCGAUGACGGCAUCAGAUUCGAAGCAAAGAUCCGUCGGUAACGGAGGGGGAUGCGUCUGAUUAGCUAGUUGGCGGGGCGACGGCCCACCAAGGCGACGAUCAGUAGGGGUUCUGAGAGGAAGGUCCCCCACAUUGGAACUGAGACACGGUCCAAACUCCUACGGGAGGCAGCAGUGAGGAAUAUUGGUCAAUGGGCGGAAGCCUGAACCAGCCAAGUAGCGUGCAGGAGGACGGCCCUACGGGUUGUAAACUGCUUUUAUGCGGGGAUAAAGUGAGGGACGCGUCCCUUUUGCAGGUACCGC